GGCUCUAGAGUAUUUAAACGUUUGGAAACGCGCACGGUUUGGAAACACCCAUCGUAUUUUUUUAAUCACGGCGCUUUUAUUGUAAAAGGAAAUAGAAAACUACUACAUUGGUAAUGCGCAUGCAUCAUUUCUGUUUCUUUCCUGCACGUCUGCUAUUCGUUGCUAUCCAGACGAUCGAGGUUACACGAGGUCAAAGACCACAGUCUAGAUACCCGUAUCCAAUACUUGAUCAUCUAUUAAUGUCUAUAUGGCUUCAGAAAAGAAAAGAAAAUAUAUUCACCACAAGCCUGAAAUUGUUAAAGCUGCCAUAAAGGCAAUGGAUAAAAAUGAAAUGUCUAUAAGAAAAGGCAACUAACAAAGUUGUGAAGGACAAGGACAAAGUAGAAAAAAAAUGCACAAGCAAGUAAUAGAAAGGAAGAAACUAGAAGCUAAGAAAAUGAACAAACCGAGUACUUCAAAAGACAUAGAUGAAGACAGCGAUGACAAUCCAUUAUUAAGAAGGGAAAGAUGGAAAAAGAGCUGGCUGCAGGUGUUGAUGGUGCUGACCAAGUAAUAAAUCAAACCACAAAAGAUACUUGCUCAGGUUGUGGCUAAAAAAGGUGGAAAUAUUUAGAUCCUGUGUGAAAUAUGUGAUCAGUGGCUUCAUGUGGAAUGCACUCAACAUGUCAAAUAAUUUGACAACUGAAGAACUUGAAGAUCUUUCUUUUGUGUGCCAAUUAUGUUGCCCAGAUCAAUGAUCUUGACUUUGGGUGGUUUCUAUGCCUUUAUGCAAAUUUUAAUUGUAUAAAAUGAGUUAACAUCUGCUGUAUGUCUGUAUUAGUGUAUGUAGUAUGUGUAUAAAAUGUAUAUAUAUGUAAAUAUCUAAAUGUAAAUAUGUUUAAAACUAACAUUUCCUUUGCAGCUAAAUAAAUACUUAAAGGCUAAAUAUGUAUAUAAAUAUGUAGACGUUUUUUUUUUUGUAAAAUUGUAAAGAUCAAUUGUAAAUAUUGGCUGUAUAUUUGUAUAUAUAUAUAAAUGUAAAUAAAUAUAAUAUAUAUGUUUAAAAAAAAAACAUUGUGUUGUUAUUGUUUUAUUUCUUUGAAAUCAAAUUAAUAAAAAUACCAAAAUAUUUAUAACAGAAUCUAAAUAUUAAACAUCUCCUGCAAAAAAAAAAAAAAAAAAAAAGAGAACGAAAAAAGAA